rnacentral:rRNA from 1 species
AACUGCGAAUACCGGAGAAUGUUAUCACGGGAGACACACGGCGGGUGCUAACGUCCGUCGUGAAGAGGGAAACAACCCAGACCGCCAGCUAAGGUCCCAAAGUCAUGGUUAAGUGGGAAACGAUGUGGGAAGGCCCAGACAGCCAGGAUGUUGGCUUAGAAGCAGCCAUCAUUUAAAGAAAGCGUAAUAGCUCACUGGUCGAGUCGGCCUGCGCGGAAGAUGUAACGGGGCUAAACCAUGCACCGAAGCUGCGGCAGCGACGCUUAUGCGUUGUUGGGUAGGGGAGCGUUCUGUAAGCCUGUGAAGGUGUGCUGUGAGGCAUGCUGGAGGUAUCAGAAGUGCGAAUGCUGACAUAAGUAACGAUAAAGCGGGUGAAAAGCCCGCUCGCCGGAAGACCAAGGGUUCCUGUCCAACGUUAAUCGGGGCAGGGUGAGUCGACCCCUAAGGCGAGGCCGAAAGGCGUAGUCGAUGGGAAACAGGUUAAUAUUCCUGUACUUGGUGUUACUGCGAAGGGGGGACGGAGAAGGCUAUGUUGGCCGGGCGACGGUUGUCCCGGUUUAAGCGUGUAGGCUGGUUUUCCAGGCAAAUCCGGAAAAUCAAGGCUGAGGCGUGAUGACGAGGCACUACGGUGCUGAAGCAACAAAUGCCCUGCUUCCAGGAAAAGCCUCUAAGCAUCAGGUAACAUCAAAUCGUACCCCAAACCGACACAGGUGGUCAGGUAGAGAAUACCAAGGCGCUUGAGAGAACUCGGGUGAAGGAACUAGGCAAAAUGGUGCCGUAACUUCGGGAGAAGGCACGCUGAUAUGUAGGUGAAGUCCCUUGCGGAUGGAGCUGAAAUCAGUCGAAGAUACCAGCUGGCUGCAACUGUUUAUUAAAAACACAGCACUGUGCAAACACGAAAGUGGACGUAUACGGUGUGACGCCUGCCCGGUGCCGGAAGGUUAAUUGAUGGGGUCAGCGCAAGCGAAGCUCUUGAUCGAAGCCCCGGUAAACGGCGGCCGUAACUAUAACGGUCCUAAGGUAGCGAAAUUCCUUGUCGGGUAAGUUCCGACCUGCACGAAUGGCGUAAUGAUGGCCAGGCUGUCUCCACCCGAGACUCAGUGAAAUUGAACUCGCUGUGAAGAUGCAGUGUACCCGCGGCAAGACGGAAAGACCCCGUGAACCUUUACUAUAGCUUGACACUGAACAUUGAGCCUUGAUGUGUAGGAUAGGUGGGAGGCUUUGAAGUGUGGACGCCAGUCUGCAUGGAGCCGACCUUGAAAUACCACCCUUUAAUGUUUGAUGUUCUAACGUUGACCCGUAAUCCGGGUUGCGGACAGUGUCUGGUGGGUAGUUUGACUGGGGCGGUCUCCUCCUAAAGAGUAACGGAGGAGCACGAAGGUUGGCUAAUCCUGGUCGGACAUCAGGAGGUUAGUGCAAUGGCAUAAGCCAGCUUGACUGCGAGCGUGACGGCGCGAGCAGGUGCGAAAGCAGGUCAUAGUGAUCCGGUGGUUCUGAAUGGAAGGGCCAUCGCUCAACGGAUAAAAGGUACUCCGGGGAUAACAGGCUGAUACCGCCCAAGAGUUCAUAUCGACGGCGGUGUUUGGCACCUCGAUGUCGGCUCAUCACAUCCUGGGGCUGAAGUAGGUCCCAAGGGUAUGGCUGUUCGCCAUUUAAAGUGGUACGCGAGCUGGGUUUAGAACGUCGUGAGACAGUUCGGUCCCUAUCUGCCGUGGGCGCUGGAGAACUGAGGGGGGCUGCUCCUAGUACGAGAGGACCGGAGUGGACGCAUCACUGGUGUUCGGGUUGUCAUGCCAAUGGCACUGCCCGGUAGCUAAAUGCGGAAGAGAUAAGUGCUGAAAGCAUCUAAGCACGAAACUUGCC